UGAAAUAGGGCUGGACAAAAAUGAUGGUACCCAUAACUUAAUAUUUUGUUGCGCAACCUUUUGAGGCAAUCACUGCAAUUAAAUGAUUUCUGUAUUUGUCAAUGAGCGUUCUGCAGCUGUCAACAGGUAUUUUGGCCCACUCCUCAUGAGCAAACAGCUCCAGUUGUCUCAGGUUUGAUGGGUGUCUUCUCCAAAUGGCAUGUUUCAGCUCCUUCCACAUAUGUUGAAUGGGAUUCAGAUCUGGGCUCAUAGAAGGCCACUUUAGAAUAGUCCAACGCUUUUCUCUCAGCCAUUCUUGGGUGUUUUUGGCUGUGUGUUUUGGAUCGUUGUCCUGUUGGAAGACCCAUGACCUGCGACUGAGACCAAGCUUUCUGACACUAGGCAGCACAUUUCUCUCCAGAAUGCCUUGAUAGUCUUCAGAUUUCAUCGUACCUUGCACACUUUCAAGACACCCUGUGCCAGAUGCAGCAAAGCAGCCCCAAAACAUUACUGAGCCUCCUCCAUGUUUCACCGUAGGGACAGUGUUCUUUUCUUCGUAUGCUUGGUUUUUGAGUCUAUGAACAUAGAGUUGAUGUGCCUUACCAAAAAGCUCCAGUUUGGUCUCAUCUGUCCAAAGGACAUUCUCCCAGAAGCUUUGUGGCUUGUCAACAUGCAUUUUUGCAAAUUCCAGUCUGGCUUUUUUAUGAGUUUUUUUUCAGCAGUGGUGUCCUCCUUGGUCGUCUCCCAUGAAGUCCACUUUGGCUCAAACAACGACGAAUGGUGCGAUCUGACACUGAUGUACCUUGGCCUUGGAGUUCACCUUUAAUUUCUUUGGAGGUUGCUCUGGGCUCUUUGGAUACAAUUCCAACGAUCCGUCUCUUCAAUUUGUCAUCAAUUUUCCUCUUGCGGCCACGUCCAGGGAGGUUGGCUACUGUCCCGUGGGUCUUGAACUUCUGAAUAAUAUGAGCCACUGUUGUCACAGGAACUUCAAGCUGUUUAGAGAUGGUCUUAUAGCCUUUACCUUUAAGAUGUUUGUCUAUAAUUUUUUUUCGGAUGUCCUGGGACAAUUCUCUCCUUCGCUUUCUGUUGUCCAUGUUCAGUGUGGUACACACCUUUUCACCAAACAGCAGGGUGACUACUUGUCUCCCUUUAAAUAGGCAGACUGACUGAUUAUGAGUUUGGAAACACCUGUGAUGUCAAUUAAAUGACACACCUGAGUUAAUCAUGUCACUCUGGUCAAAUAGUUUUCAAUCUUUUAUAGAGGUACCAUCAUUUUUGUCCAGGCCUGUUUCAUUAGUUUGUUUUUUUAAAUAAUUAUGUUAAUCAACAAUUCAAAAGUGAUGGCUGUUUUUGAUUAUUUAAUUUUCAAUAAUUUUUUAUUUAUUGUUACUUUUGUGAGUUUCAAGUGAUUUCAGUGAGAAUUGUGGGUUUUUCCUUCUUUAACUGAGGGGUACCAACAAUUUUGUCCACGUGUGUAUGCACAGUAGUGAAAUGUAUUAAGCACCUGUUCCAGACCGAAACAAUAAGAAUAAGAAGCAUGAGAAUACAAACAUGCAAGGAAUAGAUAGAUAGAUAGAUAGAUAGAUAGAUAGAUAGAUAGAUAGAUAGAUAGAUAGAUAGAUAGAUAGAUAGAUAGAUAGAUAGAUAGAUAGAUCAAGGUGUCAAAUAUUUCAACAAAAAAAAAUACAAUUUGAAGAGUAACACAGAUAGUGAACAGAAUUUGCAGUUGAUUUGUCUAUUAGGCGGACAGCCUGUGGGAAGAAGCUCCUCCUCUCUGUGUUUACAAUAACCCCGCCCUGGUUGCAGCAGAGAAAACAGUCUAUAGCUGAGGUGGGUGGGAUCAUGAGCAAUCUUACUGGCCUUUAACCUGCAUCGUUUGUUGUAAACAUCCUGCAGGUUGGGGAGGGUGGUUCUGAUGGUGCCUUCAGCCAAGCGGCCCAUCCAGGUGGUGAUACUCUCAGCCAAAACACUCUCAUGGUGCAGGUGUAGAAGUUCCUGAGCACUUUGAGAGGGAGCUUGAAGUCCCUCAGGCGUCUGAAGUGGUAGAGACGCUGUCGAGCUUUCUUCACCAUAGUGUUGAUGUAACAGGACCACGUCAGGUCCUGCAUGAUGUUAACACCCAAAUGCAUGAAGCUGUCCACUUUCUGAUCCUGAGUGGGUGGAAUGCCCUCUGCUGCUUCUUGCUGUAAUCCACUAUCAGCUCCUUGGUCUUGCUGACAUUCAGGAGAAGGCUGUUGUUUCUGCAUCAGUCCUCCAGGUGGGUAAUCUCCAUCAAAUAGACAUAUGUAUAUUUUUGCAAAGAUUUUCUGUUAUAGUGUUGUUAUUGUAAUACGUUAUUUUUAGUUUUGUGAUAAUGAUGCAGUUCACUAUUUCUACUUGUAGAUUAAAUUAUCAAUUUCAUUUCUGUUCACUGAACAACAUUAGAUGUUUCCUGUGCUACAAAGAGUCCUGGUUUUAUUCUGGAAUAAGAUUUUUUUUUUUGUAAUUAUUUAGGAUUAUGAUGACAGAAAAUUCCUGCUGAUUUCCACUUUUUACAACACGGUUAAUUUAGGGAGAUGUUUAUCACUACACGUCUAACAAUAGAUUCACAAUGGAUUUGUGGUUGUUUUUGCAACUAAAAGUGCAUCUUACAUGUGUUUUGCAUGAUGUAUCUCUUUGUGAUCAUUUCUGUAAUUUUGCUUUUAUCUCUUUAUGGUUAUUUUUUGUCCAGCUUGUCAUUUUUGCAUCACAUAUUGGGCUUUCUGCUUCUAUUUGUUGCUAUUUGGUCUGUUUGUAGUCAGUUUCUGUUGUGUUUCUGUAAUUUCUGUUUCAUUUAGUGGUUUUGCAUUCAUCUGGUGUCAUAUUGGUAACGUUUCAGCAACAUUUUGGGCAACGUUUUGGUUAUUUUCAUCUCCUUGGGUUUCUUUUUUUAGGUCUGUUUUACGUGUCUUUUUGGUUGUUUCGUCUUUCUGAGAUAUACAGUAUCUCAUAAUUCUUGGAAUAAGACUAGGGGGUGUUGUCCCAUUAAUGUUUAUCUUUUUUUCUAACAUUCUUCUGAUUAAUCUGUCUCUCAUUCUUACUCACUGUGGACUAGAAAUUACCAAAUCUGUAGAAACGGCAUCGUCCCAAAAAUGUGGAAACCUUUUGUUGAAUUCAAAACUUUAAAUCACUCAUAUGAGUGUAUUUUCCACCUCUAAAGUACCUAAAUCCACAGAGUGUAAACUCUACAUUCUGUGCUAUGUUUUGUGUAUGAAGGAAUAGUUGUUUAUGGUUUCUCAUAAUAAGUUUAGCUGCAGUUAUCCAACUAUUAACUUCAUUUGAUAUUAAUGAAGCCUUUUUCAAGCUGUAAUCUUCCCUCUGAGUGUAGUUUCUUUAUUAUCUGGAGUAUCCAAGUUUUCUUGAGCACCUCCUAGCUUUUUCAUACUCCUAGAUGCUGUAGUCUUCUCUGUCUCUGUAGCUACAUUUGUUCCCUUUUUAGCUCUGGUAAAGUAAAGGCAUUGCUGAUAGUGUUCUAGUUGUAAUAAUGUCACCACAGACACCAGAUCUAAAACACAGAAAGAUCUUUCUUGGUGCUGAUACUGAUGCUACGUUUAAGCUAAAAAAAAAAAAAGAGAGAGGAUUUUACUUUUACUUUCUUUUCAUGCAUUACAUAAUAAAAUGCCAUUGAAUGCCAUCCCUCCAUCAGACUCAUCAGAUGUGCUGUUAAAACACAUGAUCAAAACAUGAGAUUGUCGGAAUUCCCCGUUGUACCAGUAAGACUCUGUGAUGCUUUUUAAAUACACCUGUCAAGUCCUUUGACAGAGCAUUCAGGGAGAGAACACGAUGGCAGGCAAGUGUGUCUUCAUAUAUUUACAUAAAGACUGUGUCUGGUUCGUCAGGUGGCCUUUAGUAAACUACAGGAUACACCGGUGUCUCAAAUAACACCAGUAAUUUAACUUUGGCUCUUCUGAGCUAUAAUGAUCUGCAGGGUAUUUAUUUAUCUGUGUUUUGAUUUAGCAUGAAUGUAAGGAGGAAAAUUCUUCCACUUAGAGUUCAUGGUUACAUUUAAAACUAUAGAAUAUGUCUCUGACAACUCCAUUUACCAACUCUUACCCUGGAACAAAAAUUCACCUUUAGUUUCACUUCUAGAAUGCGCAUGAAAACAAUAAGAGAGUAAUAAUGUAAUGUUCUUUAGCUCCAUCUACAGGUCGCCCAGUGACAGUAACUGUCGGUACCGUUUGGACGCUACAGGUGGAACCUCCUCCACCCAGACCACCAAGACUAUCAGGCACCACCUUCAUCGUACGUAGUGUCUUCAUCGCAGCUCAAAUCAUCUUUGGUGUUGUGUAUUUCAAGGACUGCCCUCAGCAGCCCAACAUCCCCAACUAUCUCCUAGGGUUGGCUUUGAUACAGCUGCUCAUGGUAUCAUUUGUGACCCUCCCAUGUGAGAGUGAAGCAGCUCAGCCACGGGAGCAUCCCAGAGGCUUCAAAGCCUUUCUGAUAUUUUUAUUGUCCCUUUUUACCUUCACAUGGAUCCUGAUAGGUGAUGUGUGGGUGUUCUCAGUCUACCAGCCAAACUAUGACCCCACAGCUGCUGAUGGUCUCUACUGUAAUAAGAGCUUGUACACGUUUGCUUUCUGGAACGCCGUAUUGGAGACCUUUGUGAUCGGAGUCCUCUUGGCCAAAUUCAUCAAAGGUCUGCUGUGUUUUGUGAAGAUGACUCCUGUACCAGCAGACUUCUAUGGGCAAGUCUGAGGCCGUUUGGGAGCAGGGUAAUGAUUAAUAUGAUCAUGUGUGAGGUUGUUUUUUUUUUUUUUACAAUUUUAUCUUCUUUGUUCUUUGUAUUUAAGAAAUUACAACUGUUUUUACUGUUUCUUAUUGACAGUUUAAGCCAAUCAAGAAUGUGAAGGCUGGCUUCCCAAAGGCCAUUACUAAUGGCAUAGUUCUUUAAAAUAAUAAAAUAAAAUUCUGGGCCUUGUAGUUUUUAGCAAGUGUUAUCCAUACAUGAACAGUUAAUUCAUUGGUAUUGUUUCAUCUGCGGAUUGGUCUACAAAGUGUUCCCUAAACUUGGUUUUUGACAACCAUAAAGAUAUGUGAUGAAUAAGCAGAAUAUAGCUUUGGAGACACAGAUAAAGCUUGUUCAGUUUAAUGAUUUUUUUCAGAGGACUUGUUGACAAUGAGGAAAAUAUGCUAUGUGGCCAACUUUCCCACAGCAUUUUUUAUUGAUUUGUUAUUUUACAUUGUUUGUUUUUUCACCUCAAAAAGCUGGGAGACUUUAGCUUUAUGUAGAAUUGAUGUAUAUUUUUGAUUAUUUUUUCUUUGUUAAUUUUGUGUAAUAUUUAAUUUAAUAUUCCCUGUGUUUAAAUAAAGCUCUGUAUAAAAAUGAGAA